GAAAUGCGAUACUUGGUGUGAAUUGCAGAAUCCCGUGAACCAUCGAGUCUUUGAACGCACAUUGCGCCCUCUGGUAUUCCGGGGGGCAUGCCUGUCCGAGCGUCAUUGCUGCCCUCAAGCACGGCUUGUGUGUUGGGCCCCCGUCCCGGUUCUCCAGCCGGGACGGGCCCGAAAGGCAGCGGCGGCACCGUGUCCGGUCCUCGAGUGUAUGGGGCUCUGUCACCCACUCGUGUAGGUCCGGCCGGCGGCCAGCCUCAACCACAACUUUUUAACCAGGUUGACCUCGGAUCAGGUAGGGAUACCCGCUGAACUUAA
rnacentral:misc_RNA from 1 species